CCAGUUUCCCCAGGGACGACCUCCUGAGUUCUAAUGAGAAUGAGUAAUGAAUCCCUUUACCCACUGCAUAUAAUAUCGUACAAAAAGAUUUUAAGCUCUAAAAAAAUAAAAAAAGAUUAUCUUAUACUUAUGAGGCUUCACUCAGCUAGAUAUAUUUACUCACAGAGCAGGUUCUUCGUGUUUUGAAGUUAAAUCCUAAUUUUGUGGCUUCAUCUAGGCUAGAUAGAAAUAUUU